rnacentral:pre_miRNA from 1 species
CUAGUACUCCCUCCGUCCCAAAAUUCUUGUCUUAGAUUUGUCUAAAUACGGAUGUAUCAAGUCACGUUUUAGUAUUAGAUACAUCCGUAUCUAGACAAAUCUAAGAGAAGAAUUUUGGGACGGAGGGAGUAGUAU